GAGCUUGCUCCCUGAUGUUAGCGGCGGACGGGUGAGUAACACGUGGGUAACCUGCCUGUAAGACUGGGAUAACUCCGGGAAACCGGGGCUAAUACCGGAUGCUUGUUUGAACCGCAUGGUUCAAACAUAAAAGGUGGCUUCGGCUACCACUUACAGAUGGACCCGCGGCGCAUUAGCUAGUUGGUGAGGUAAUGGCUCACCAAGGCAACGAUGCGUAGCCGACCUGAGAGGGUGAUCGGCCACACUGGGACUGAGACACGGCCCAGACUCCUACGGGAGGCAGCAGUAGGGAAUCUUCCGCAAUGGACGAAAGUCUGACGGAGCAACGCCGCGUGAGUGAUGAAGGUUUUCGGAUCGUAAAGCUCUGUUGUUAGGGAAGAACAAGUACCGUUCGAAUAGGGCGGUACCUUGACGGUACCUAACCAGAAAGCCACGGCUAACUACGUGCCAGCAGCCGCGGUAAUACGUAGGUGGCAAGCGUUGUCCGGAAUUAUUGGGCGUAAAGGGCUCGCAGGCGGUUUCUUAAGUCUGAUGUGAAAGCCCCCGGCUCAACCGGGGAGGGUCAUUGGAAACUGGGGAACUUGAGUGCAGAAGAGGAGAGUGGAAUUCCACGUGUAGCGGUGAAAUGCGUAGAGAUGUGGAGGAACACCACUGGCGAAGGCGACUCUCUGGUCUGUAACUGACUCUGACGAGCGAUAGCGUGGGGAGCGAACACGAUUAGAUACCCUGGGUAGUCCACAACCGCUACACUCAUCCACUGCGUGGUUGCUCUCGGAGGGUUUUCCGCCGCCUCUUCUAAUGCCUACAGCGUAAGGACAAUUCAUGACUACUCCUGCCUGUGGAGCUAAGGAUUUCGGCCAGGGUACUUGCAUUAGAGUUAGCGACUACUGUGCAGUAA
rnacentral:rRNA from 1 species